rnacentral:rRNA from 1 species
UACGUAGGGUGCGAGCGUUGUCCGGAAUUACUGGGCGUAAAGAGCUCGUAGGUGGUUUGUCGCGUUGUUCGUGAAAACUCACAACUCAAUUGUGGGCGUGCGGGCGAUACGGGCAGACUGGAGUACUGCAGGGGAGACUGGAAUUCCUGGUGUAGCGGUGAAAUGCGCAGAUAUCAGGAGGAACACCGGUGGCGAAGGCGGAUCUCUGGACAGUUCCUGACGCUGAGGCGCGAAGGCCAGGGGAGCAAACGGG